rnacentral:rRNA from 1 species
ACGGCUCAGUAACACGUAGUCAACUUACCCUAUGGACGAGGAUAAUCUCGGGAAACUGAGCAUAAUACUCGAUAGAUCAUAAUGCCUGGAACGGUUUAUGGUUGAAAUGAUUCGUCGCCAUAGGAUGGGACUGCGGCCUAUCAGCUUGUUGGUGAGGUAAUGGCCCACCAAGGCGAUUACAGGUACGGGCUCUGAGAGGAGAAGCCCGGAGAUGGGUACUGAGACAAGGACCCAGGCCCUAUGGGGCGCAGCAGGCGAGAAAACUUUGCAAUGUGCGAAAGCACGACAAGGUUAAUCCGAGUGAUUUCUGCUAAAGAAAUCUUUUGCAAGUCAUAAAACCACUAGUGAAUAAGGGGUGGGCAAGUUCUGGUGUCAGCCGCCGCGGUAAAACCAGCACCUCAAGUGGUCAGGAGGAUUAUUGGGCCUAAAGCAUCCGUAGCCGGCUCUGUAAGUUUUCGGUUAAAUCCAUGUGCUCAACGCAUGGGCUGCCGAAAAUACUGCAUAGCUAGGGAGUGGGAGAGGUAGACGGUACUCGGUAGGAAGGGGUAAAAUCCUUUGAUCUAUCGAUGACCACCUGUGGCGAAGGCGGUCUACCAGAACACGUUCGACGGUGAGGGAUGAAAGCUGGGGGAGCAAACCGGAUUAGAUACCCGGGUAGUCCCAGCUGUAAACGAUGCAGACUCGAUGAUGCAUUGGCAUAUAGCCAGUGCAGUGUCGCAGGGAAGCCGUUAAGUCUGCCGCCUGGGAAGUACGUACGCAAGUAUGAAACUUAAAGGAAUUGGCGGGGGAGCAC